GUAGGGAAUCUUCGGCAAUGGGGGCAACCCUGACCGAGCAACGCCGCGUGGAGGAAGAAGGUUUUCGGAUUGUAAACUCCUGUCGUUAGGGACGAUAAUGACGGUACCUAACAAGAAAGCACCGGCUAACUACGUGCCAGCAGCCGCGGUAAAACGUAGGGUGCAAGCGUUGUCCGGAAUUACUGGGUGUAAAGGGAGCGCAGGCGGACCGGCAAGUUGGAAGUGAAAACUAUGGGCUCAACCCAUAAAUUGCUUUCAAAACUGCUGGCCUUGAGUAGUGCAGAGGUAGGUGGAAUUCCCGGUGUAGCGGUGGAAUGCGUAGAUAUCGGGAGGAACACCAGUGGCGAAGGCGACCUACUGGGCACCAACUGACGCUGAGGCUCGAAAGCAUGGGUAGCAAACAGGAUUAGAAACCCUAGUAGUCC
rnacentral:rRNA from 1 species